ensembl:snRNA U6 U6 spliceosomal RNA
GUGCUCGCGUCAGCAGCACACAUACUAAAACUGGAAGGAUACAGAGAAGCUUAGCAUGGCUCUACGCAAGGAUGACACGCAAAUUCGUGGAAGUGUCUUCAGCCUGC